GGCGGGGCUCGCCUCGCUUCGGGCGGAGACGCUGGCCUGGGGGCCUGCGGAGCCUAGGCCGGGCCGCGGCCGGCGCUGUCCUCCCGGCGGCCUCUCGGCGCUCGCGAGGCGCCAGGCGAAGAGCGAGCGGCGGUCUGACUCGGAGAGGGAGCCGCGUCUUUGCCGCACGCUCGCGGCCGCCCGCCUGGAGGAUGAGCCGGCAGCCGGGCUGUGGGAAACACCCACGGCGUGCACUCCUGUCUGAGCGGUUUCAGCUCCCUGUCCCAGGACCUCAGUAGCCAGCGCUCCCGAAGGCUGAUUGCUCACUUUGACACGGUAGCGAGGACACUGGAAGGCCAAACAUCAAGGCCCGUGCCAAAAUCUCCCUAACAGAUGAAGUUCAAGCACCAGUGAACUUAAAAUAUUAAUAAAUUUGUACCAAAAAGAUGGGAUCAGAAGAGCAGGCUUUCCUGCCUACUAAGCUGGACACCUGUGAAUCGUCUGGAAACAUGUGGAUGAGGGCAACAUCCUAAAAAUGGCAGAGCAACUAGAAACAACCACCUUGGUCUCUGACACCAUGGAGUCAUUACACCAAUCCUGGCAUUCUGAGACCAACUUAGCUGUUGUUUCUCUUCGAUGAGUCUUCAACUUUAUACUUAAGAAUCAAGCAUUUCGCUGGAAUAUGUCUGCAUUAAGUCAUGAAAGAAGAGGGUUGACCAGUUAUUCUCCGAGGUCCUUUUCAGUGUCGCUCGUCAAGGACUGGUUGGCUUAUCACCUGAGUCUAAAAACGUACCUGGCACAUAGUGACUGCUCAGUAUGUAUCUGUUGAAUAAGUGCAUGCUGGUAUGCAACAAAAGAGCCAGCAAGAGAAAUGGCUACGUGUUGUAUCUCUGGGGAGAAAGACUGGUGAUGAGCGAGGAGGACAGGACCCUCCCCUCUCAUCUGAUACAAGUGUUUUUACUCUGUGUGUAUUACGUUUAUUAUAAACUGUUUUAAAGACAUUGUGGCUGGAUCCUGAUCUAAAAUAUAUCAGUAUCCUAUGCACAUUUAAUCUAUAUUUAAUUUUAUUUCUUCCACUUCAAUCUACUUUGCUUCUGAUCAUAAAUGGAAAUGAGCCAGCAGAAAGGAGAUGGCAUCUAUCCAUUCUGCAUCCAUGCGAGAGUUCAGUGUUCUGGAACCUGAAUGCCAUGAACCCUCACUAAUGACCAUAGAUAGGAACCUAGGAAAAUACUUUUAUAUGAAUUAAUUGAAAUGAUACAAAUUAAAAAUGUGGCUAAUGUGAAUGUGAAUGCAAAUACAAGUAGAUACAAUCAAUUUAGCUGAAUGCACCAGACCAUUCAUGUGGCCACAAUUCCUCAAGCCCCACUAACUUUAAAUAUUUUCUAUAUCUGGCCAGCUUCAUUUACGUCUCUUCAGCAGCCUGCUUAGCGUGGAAGAACUGCAGUAGGAGAAAAGACCCACGGCGUGGUGGGCAACACUGAAGAAGAGCGAUUGAGUUAACACAUAACUUCUACCUGAGUGUUACCCCUGGCAGGUGUUUCGUCUUCCCAAAUGAAGUAUUUGGGGAUGAAAAAAAUUUCAGAUCUGCGAAUUUCUUGGUUGUGUGAUAUUAUAGACAUGAAAAAUAGACAACUAACAAGGAGAUAUCCUUAAAUGAGGGCACAGAAGCAUUUGCAUCAGUGAAAAAAUGAAAAAUGCCUUUGCUUUCCCUCCUGUUCCCCACACUACGUGCACACACACGUACUCCUAACUCACACACACACACAUCUAAUUCUUUCUCACACACACCCCCAUGCACGCAGACAGGCGCCCCCUCCCCUCAAUUCCUCACCCCAGGACUCGGAUGAUCAAUGCCCAGGCUCAGCCUUGCUCCUGCUGAAGUCACAUGUGAGUUCUAACAAACCCCCUCUAAAGCUGUCUCCUAUCACAUGCUCUUCAGGACAGGAUGAACACAUCCCCAAAAACCAUGUUUUCUUUGCAUCCUAACUGAAAUGGCAUUAAAGGGGGAAAUAGGAAUUCAGCGCUGCCAGCUACAGUAUCUCUCCUAUCAGUUCACCAGUAAGGCCUGGUAGGGACCUGCCGAGCCUCUGGAUAAAUUGUAUUUUCCAAGGGUUAAUUAAGCUGUCUUGAGCUUCUGCAUGAAGAGGAACAAACUGGCACUUGCAGCGCUUUCUGAAACCUGCUGUCGACAUUACAGUCCCUGCUGCUUUUAGCUGUAUCGAUCCGAUGCCUGACCUGUGAAAUCCUUGAUGGCUGCUAACACUAGAAGCUUACUGGAGCUUUCCAAGGGAGCUUCGGGACAGCUUGUGUAGUCAGGUACAAUUACCUAUCCCUCCAGGAGAGCCAAUUAGUUCACAAAGAGCUGGAGCAGAACAAAUGUUUUGUAUGUGAUUUAGAAUCCUAAAAAAGAAAGGACAAAAAAGAAAAAAAGGCUUUUGUUCUGUGUGAUUCUUUUGUUCCUAAUUUUAUGAUUAUUGUUUGAUUAGCAGUGGUCCUCACAUUUCCUUACAUGUUUUGGAAAGAAUUAUAAGAACAUGAUAAACUAGAUUUACAGUCUUCUCUUUAAACUACGAAAAUUGCCUUGUGCCAUUUAUGAUCCAGUUUCUGGACUAAUUGUAUCAGCUCAAAGGUAGGAAGCCCAAGUUUGUUCUACUUUCUGCAUUUCAGAAACUUUUUCUCUAAAUAGUACAAUAAAUUUUAAUCGCAAUGAAUUGGUCCCUUAAAAAAAAAAGGGUGAAUGGCAACUACUUCUGAAACUAGGCUUUGCAGGUGGAAUGUAAGAAUAGGAGAUUCCUAGGCAGAAAUAUGCUGCACUUAUCCAGCCAUUAUCAACAUGAGCAUGAUUGAUUCUGAAACCAGUACAGCUAAACUUUACAGAUUGUCAACUAACAAAGUGUGAUGCCCUUUGAAUAAAAAGGUGGCACAACUGAUAUAUCAUCUGUAUGCCCUGAGCCUUGGACUGCUUUCCCAGUAACAGGUGUUAGUGUUACUGAGAUAUUUAUUCCUCCUUGCACAUUUUCCUUUGUGACCAGUGAUAUCCAUUUACGAGCUAGCUGCAGAACGUGGUCUGUCCAUUAAAUACAUUUUUUUCUUUAUGUUUUUCUCUGAAUACGAUCUUGAUCAUACAGGGAUCAAUCAUUAGCCCUCAAAGCAUAGUGUGCCAAUAGAAUUAACUGCAAAUGCAAUUUAAUGAAUUCUAAUACUAAAUAAGCAUCAAAAUGAGGGAAAACGGCAAUCAGUUAUUAUUUUUAAUAAUGGAGAGAAAAUUUAAAAAUCUGGUUUCAAGUGUUCUUUCAAUAAAAUAAAAUCAUUUCUCUAUCUAUGACUGCAUGGUAGCUAUGAAAUAAACUGGAACCAGAAAUGUAAUGCAAAAAAGGUAUCAGAUUUAUUUAUCAUAGAAGACUUUGGUCCCAGCUUAGAAGAAGAUGAUAUAAACAUUUGUUUCCUAUUUCUGAAAGGAAGUAAAAUAAAAUUGCCAAGAAGAUUUCAUCGUAUUUUAGAAGUAAAUGAUCUAUAGUAAAAUCAGUCUCUGGACCUAAACUAGAGCGAAAAGUGCAAAGACAGUAAAACAAAAUUAAAAAAUCCAUCAGUUGUGUUUUACCUUAGCUGCUCUUAGUAAAAUCUGGUUUUAUUAAUUGGUAAUAAAGUGAUAAUUGCACAAAGAGAAGUAAGGGCCUAAUAUGGACCUGAGGCAGGUGGAACUAUAAGCCUGCUUACAUGGAGGCAGAAGGCAGGAGCCUGGGUGUUUGUCAAUGUCUGUGCCAGAGAACUUCUGGGGUCCUGAGCAGGCCUGGUGUUUGUCCCAGUGAUGCAGGCAGGGUCAACGAAAGCAGAUUCAUGUUGCCUCAGCUUCUCCAUCUGGAGGCGUAAUUGCAUGAAGAGGGAGAUGACAGAGCUCAAUCUUUUACUGGUCUGUUUGUGAAAUGGAUUGGGAACUUGGCACUGAUGGUAUUCUGCUGCUUCAAAUGCUUUCCUCUCUCCCUUAUUAAUGUCAAGUAAUGUUGAGACCACUCCAUUCGGGUGUUGGAAAGGAGUUGAUAACAGUUUCCAGUACUGAAGAGUCUUAACAUACCCAGUUUUGUAACCGGAAAAAAAUGACCCUGCAUGAUUAAGGGCGAAAUUCACUAGUCUUCCAGUUGGUAAGAGGCGAGCAGAUCGUCCAUUCCUUUGGUGGUCUACGUUUUGGUUCAAGGAUAAAUGUUGUGAAAAUGAGAUCAAAGCUCUGGGUUUGAUUUCUCUAGAGUCUUCUGUUUUGUUGCAUGACCACUCAUCGUAGCCUUAUCCCAUCCAGAUGAUUUGCACAUGUUGCAAGUUGUGCUCUGAGAAAACACUGGGCGGGUUGUCAAAAUCCUUUACUUUCACUGGAAACACAAGCUAAAGUUGGGGUCAGUAGUGUAAACCUAAAAUAUGAGGGUUACUUAUUUAUUAAUGUGUCGUACCUACACGUCAUUUGUUCUUCAAAAUAUGUCUUAUACAAGAGAAAAAGAAUUUUCAAAGUACAGUGAAAAUUCUGAAGACAACUUUUCUUCACAAUCAUUCUUUGAAAGAGAUAGUAAGAGUUUAGUCAACUCUUUCUCAAGGUAUAUAUAGGCCUUCAGAAGAGAAUAUGACUUUAGUUUUAAUAGUUAUAAGGGCUAUCAUCAAAGUUAAUCUAGAACCUACAGAUAUAAAUUAAAGACAUCAAUAGGGCUGACAGUUUUCCUGCCAUUUUCUCACCUCCUUCUAUUGUCUCCUAUUAAGAGAGAGAAUAAACUUCCUAAGGAUUCAACUUGAAAGCUUUCAAUCUAUUUAACAGAAUGAAGUACACUAUGAUCUGAUUUUUCUAAAUCAUAAGAGGCUUUAGAGCUAAAUCCUGAAGACACAAAUUACAAACAAGAUUGCAAGUGACAAUUUCAUGUUUGAAAUAUCAGGUUCAUAAUAUAUAACACAAUAGCAAGGAUUUUAAAACUAUGCUUUUAUAAAGGAGUAGCAAGUUGGUGAAGCCUGGAGAAUCAGUCUCUGAAAGCUUCAUUUCUAAAGUAUCAAGAAUAUUCUUCUUGUGGGAAAAUUGCUGCUGAUAUCCAUUAAGUGCCUGCUUUCUCCUCCAACCAGAGUGUAGAGUCUACGUUUUUAACCUCUGAGACAUGCCUGGAAGUAGAACUAAGUGUGAUUCUUCAUGUAAAGACCACAAGGAAGAGAAAAAAUUGGAUUUCCCAAACUUGAUAGAGGACUAUCCAGUUCAUUCCUGGACUAAUGAAUCGAAAGGAAAAUGUCUUCUCAAUAGUUAGAAUCCACAUAUAGACAUGGGACAAUGAGCAAAGAAGAAGCAAAUCUAUCAUAAAAAAAUGUUAUGGCAAACUCUCAAAAUGAGCCUAAAUGGAGAAAAACAGGUUUCUCAACUCUGAGCUGUUUGGAUAUAAUUUGCUUGAAGCUGUCAUGGCCACACAUCACUCUGUCCUUGGGGAAUGUAACAGAUAUGCGUCAUCCAACUACAUCUGAUGAGAAGUUCAGAAAAGGAAGUUGGUGAAGCUAUCAUUGACUUCUAAGUCAAGGUCCAAGCUGUCAGAAAACAAGUGGGAAAAUUGUAUCCACAGACAAAUCCAUGGAGGACUUUUAGGUUCCAGCGGACAUGGCCUGGUUCCCACUCAGAAGUCUUGGGUCUGGGUCUCAAUUAACUAGGCAGUAUUUGAAAGUCACUGUAUUUUUUUGAUUUUCAGUUUCCUCAUCUGUAGAAUGGAUUAACAUCUGCUCUCUCUAUCUCCUAAAGUUAAUCUGAGAUGCGAAUGAAAUCACAUAUAUGAGAAUACUCACAUAAAUGUUAUUUUAAUUUGCUUUAUGUGUGUGUGUUUUGCCUUCUAAACAAUGUUUCUUCCAGGUAAGGAUAUGUAUGCUUGGGAUGUGUACCUACCAAAAUGCCUGGCACAAGGUGUUUGUGAAAUAUUUGUUGAAUGUUUGUUAAAUGGAUGUUGAAUCUGAAUGAAACUGAAACAAUUUUGAAAAACUAUAGUUUGGAAGAGGUAACAAUAAAAUAUAUCAAAAUGUGAAUUUCUCUUUCAUUGUUGCCAUCCUCUUAAUGUUUUGCUAUUUCACUUUCAUUAUUACAUUCUACAAUGACUGUCCUCAAAAGGCCACCAGUGAAUUCCUCCCAAAUUCUUAGCCUCCCUUUCCAGCCUCAUUUUACUGGCUCUUUCUACUGCAUUUUACUUCAUCAACCUCUCUAUUUGCUUGUUAUUCUUUUUUCACUUAACUUCAAUGACAUCAUAAUUUCUUGCUUCUUAUAACUUUCAAAACAUUCAUUUUGUGUCUCUCGUUCAGUUUCUAUUUAACCUCUUUUCCCAUUAACGGCUAGUCCUUCAGGCUCAACUGUGCUUUCUCCUAUUUCUGUCUGAUCUUCACCUCACCAAGAAAACUGAUGUGGGUUCAUUAUUCCCAGUAUACAGACAGAUGAUAUCCAAGUCUCCCUUCUCUGGAAGGUCAAAACUAUUCUGAUUCACAUGUCAGUUCUUAAAAAUCCUACUAGCCUGGGCUGGCCCCGUGGCCGAGUGGUUAAGUUUGUGGGCUCCGCUGCAGGCGGCCCAGUGUUU